rnacentral:rRNA from 1 species
CCUACGGGCGGCAGCAGUGGGGAAUAUUGCACAAUGGGGGAAACCCUGAUGCAGCGACGCCGCGUGAAGGAAGAAGUAUUUCGGUAUGUAAACUUCUAUCAGCAGGGAAGAAAAUGACGGUACCUGACUAAGAAGCCCCGGCUAACUACGUGCCAGCAGCCGCGGUAAUACGUAGGGGGCAAGCGUUAUCCGGAUUUACUGGGUGUAAAGGGAGCGUAGGCGGUUUAGCAAGUCAGAAGUGAAAGCCCGGGGCUCAACUCCGGGACUGCUUGUGAAACUGUUGAACUAGAGUGCAGGAGAGGUAAGUGGAAUUCCUAGUGUAGCGGUGAAAUGCGUAGAUAUUAGGAGGAACACCAGUGGCGAAGGCGGCUUACUGGACUGUAAAUGACGCUGAGGCUCGAAAGCGUGGGGAGCAAACAGGAUUAGAUACCCGUGUAGUC